rnacentral:rRNA from 1 species
UACAGAGGUGGCAAGCGUUGUUCGGAAUUACUGGGCGUAAAGGGCGCGUAGGCGGUCUUAUAAGUCUCGUGUGAAAUCCCUCGGCUUAACUGAGGAACUGCACGGGAUACUGCAAGACUUGAGAUCGGGAGAGGGAAGCGGAAUUCCGGGUGUAGCGGUGAAAUGCGUAGAUAUCUGGAGGAACACCGGUGGCGAAGGCGGCAUCCUGGACCGGUAUUGACACUGAGGCGCGAAAGCCAGGGGAGCAAACGGG